ensembl:lncRNA
GGAGGAUCCCGGAGGAGGGCAGGGAUGCUCCCGUGUCCAGCAGCCUCCGCGUGUCCCCGCAGGGCCCGGCGUACAACAGGCACACCCUGCCCGGGGACAGCGAGCCCACGGAGCGGGCCAAGGAGAUCCUGAUCCUGCGGCACAAGAGCCUGCUGGUGGAGAUGGGCGGGAGCGACGCCUGCAGCUCCAGGAAGGAGUCCCAGAAGGAGGACUCGUGCUCGGCGCGGGGCGAGGCCACCCCGCAGGCCAGGCUCUGCCGCUCCUUCACUGUGGGGAACACGGAGAAGGUUCGGGAGGUGAAGGAGAACCGAUCCAAGUCCGUGUGUGCCAUCCCGCCGCCCCAGCCCAGCGGCCAGACCUGGGGCGGGAGGAAGGAGCUGCCUCUGGAGCUGUACAAACACAAGGGAUGCUCUGGCUCCCCAGGAGGGGUCUGACUCCUGCAGGGAGGGCUGCUGGACAUGUAGAUCAUGUAAAUAAGAUCCACAUUGGAAAGAACAGAGGGGACAGGGUGGAAUAUCUGGAGUGGGUUGCAUGGAAAGUCACUCUUAUUGCCCAAUGUUGGGGUUUUAGUGGGAACUGAGGGAAAAGGUGCCCAGCUGAGCACCAGCAAUGCCAGGGAAUGGCUGAGGCCACAUUUCUAAGGAAUUUAUAGGAAAAAUUAGCCUGUUUAGUCUGGAAAAAUUGUUGAAACUGCCUCCAACUGCAAGGAAGGAUGUUUUAAUAAGGCAAAAUAUGGGAUCUUCUCAUUAAUUUUCAGGGACAGGCUAAACAGCAGGGAGCAUUUGGAUUAUAGGUUGGGAAAAAUUUGAUAAUUUCAAAGAAGAUUUUAUUAGGGGAUGGAGGAAAGAGCAGAAAUAGCAACAUAUUUCUUCUCCUCAGGACCUGGUGGAUCCUCACUAUGAACAUUAAUCUCAUGAAGCCCAAAGUUAAAUGACAUUGUUGAGUAAGGGGUUGUGUUUUUCCUGAGGGAUUGUCCCACACCCAGCCACAAUUCUGCGAAUGAAAAAUGAUUGCAGCUGAGUUAAAAGGGAGAAAUAUGUUCUUGCUGGUUUUUGAAAAUUUAUGUAAGGAAUGAUUCAUCUCAAAGUUAAAAUGAGGAGGCUCCAAACCCAGUGGUGAUAGCAGGAGAUGAGGGUGACAGCCCUUAAAUAGAUGGGAAAGGUUUCUGAUGUGGUUGGUUGGUGACAUUAAUCCUGUAAAGAUAUUUUGGGAUGAUCUGUGCUGCCAUAGCCGGGAGCUGUGGGUUUAGGGGUGUUUGGAAGUGCCAAGAGGGUGACCCAAACCCUGGCUGCUUCUCCCAGGAAAGCUGUGAGCCCUUUGCACAGCAGAUGCAGGUGAACUCUGGAGAUAGGACCUGAGGAAGACAGGUAGCCCCAGCUUUGGGUAAUUUUCUUCGAAACUCCAAGUAAGUUCAAGCCUUUGAAUUCUUGUCCUUACUGAACCUGACAGGACAAGUUUUAGUUUUGUGUUGACAUUUUUCUUUCUCUUCUCCUUCCUCUGAUCUAAGAGUGUUUAAUCUGAACGAGUGGCUCUUUUUGAAACAGCAUUAAAAGAAACUGUAGGAAUUCACAGACUCCUCC